rnacentral:rRNA from 1 species
UGGGGAAUAUUGGACAAUGGGCGAAAGCCUGAUCCAGCCAUGCCGCGUGAGUGACGAAGGCCUUAGGGUUGUAAAACUCUUUCGUCGGGGACGAUAAUGACGGUACCCGAAGAAGAAGCUCCGGCUAACUUCGUGCCAGCAGCCGCGGUAAUACGAAGGGAGCUAGCGUUGUUCGGAAUCACUGGGCGUAAAGCGCACGUAGGCGGAUAGUUAAGUCAGGGGUGAAAUCCUGGGGGCUCAACCCCAGAACUGCCUUUGAUACUGGCUGUCUCGAGGUCGAGAGAGGUUGGUGGAAUUCCUAGUGUAGAGGUGAAAUUCGUAGAUAUUAGGAAGAACACCAGUGGCGAAGGCGGCCAACUGGCUCGAUACUGACGCUGAGGUGCGAAAGCGUGGGGAGCAAACAGGAUUAGAUACCCCUGUAGUCCCUGAGCGGGCUGGCAAGGCGCAU